rnacentral:rRNA from 1 species
CAUGCUCAGAGCGAACGCUAGCGGCAGGCUUAACACAUGCAAGUCGAGCGGAGAACUUCGGUUCUCAGCGGCGGACGGGUGAGGAACACGUAGGUAACGUACCUAUAGGUGGGGAAUAGCCCAGGGAAACCUGGAUUAAUACCGCAUAUGGCCCUCGGGUCAAAGCCUUCGGGCGCCUAUAGAUCGGCCUGCGGCCCAUCAGCUAGUUGGUAAGGUAACGGCUUACCAAGGCGAAGACGGGUAGCUGGUCUGAGAGGACGAUCAGCCACACUGGGACUGAGACACGGCCCAGACUCUACGGAGGCAGCAGUGAGGAAUAUUGGACAAUGGGGGAAACCCUGAUCCAGCCAUGCCGCGUGGGCGAUGAAGGCCUUCGGGUCGUAAAGCCCUGUCGGGAGGGAAGAAGCGCUUCGGCGUUGACGGUACCUCGCAAGAAAGCACCGGCUAACUCCGUGCCAGCAGCCGCGGUAAUACGGAGGGUGCAAGCGUUGCUCGGAAUUACUGGGCGUAAAGCGAGCGCAGGCGGCUGUUCAAGUCGGAUGUGAAAGCCCGAGGCUCAACCUCGGAACUGCAUUCGAAACUGGACAGCUAGAGUAUGGAAGAGGGGAGUGGAAUUCCUGGUGUAGAGGUGAAAUUCGUAGAUAUCAGGAGGAACACCCGUGGCGAAGGCGACUCCCUGGGCCAAUACUGACGCUCAUGCUCGAAAGCGUGGGGAGCAAACAGGAUUAGAUACCCUGGUAGUCCACGCCGUAAACGAUGAGUGCUCGGUGCUGGGGGACUAUACCCCUUCAGUGCCCAAGCUAACGUAUUAAGCACUCCGCCUGGGAAGUACGGCCGCAAGGCUNAAACUCAAAUGAAUUGACGGA